UACGGAGGGUUCAAGCGUUAUCCGGAUUCCCUGGGUUUAAAGGGUGCGUAGGCGGGCAGGUAAGUCAGUGGUGAAAUCUCCGGGCUUAACCCGGAAACUGCCGUUGAUACUAUCUGUCUUGAAUAUCGUGGAGGUAAGCGGAAUAUGUCAUGUAGCGGUGAAAUGCUUAGAUAUGACAUAGAACACCCAUUCCGAAGGCAGCUUACUACACGAUCAUUGACGCUGAGGCACGAAAGCGUGGGGAGCAAACAGG
rnacentral:rRNA from 1 species